rnacentral:rRNA from 1 species
AAAAACAUCUCUCUUUGUGUAUUAAUAAAUAAGGAGUUGGGCCUGCUCGGUGAAGAUUUUUAACAGCUGCGGUAUUUUAACUGUACUAAGGUAGCAUAAUAAUUUGCCUUAUAAUUUGAGGCUAGAAUGAAUGGUUUGACGAAGGUUAAUCUGUCUCCGUUUUAUUUUUUAGAAAUUAAUUUUCAUAGUGAAAAAGCUUGGAUUUUUUAAAGGGACGAGAAGACCCUAUUGAGCUUAUAAUUUUAUUGUUAUUAUGUUUAUUAAAUUUAUCAUUGUAAUAUAUAAAUUUUAAUUGGGGUGAUUAAGGAAUAAAAUUUUUAUAGUAUAACUUCCUUAGAUUAUAAUAUUGUUAAAUUAAGUAACCGAUAUAUUUACAGUUCGUGUUGUGUAUUGCUUAUAAUAUAGUUACCAUAGGGAUAACAGCGUAAUUUACUUAGAGAGUUCUUAUUGAAAAGUAAGAUUGCGACCUCGAUGUUGGAUUAAAGUAACCUUAAGGUGCAGAAGCUUUAUAAGGUAAAUCUGUUCGAUUUUUAAAACUUUACGUGAUCUGAGUU